rnacentral:tRNA from 1 species
GCGGCCGUGGUCAAGCUUGGUCUAAGACGGGAGCCCGCCACGCUCCUAACCCGGGUUCAAAUCCCGGCGGCCGCACCA